AGGACGAACGCUGGCGGCGUGCUUAACACAUGCAAGUCGAGCGGUAGGGCCUCCUUCGGGGGGUACACGAGCGGCGAACGGGUGAGUAACACGUGGGUGACCUGCCCUCAGCUCUGGGAUAAGCCUGGGAAAACCGGGUCUAAUACCGGAUAGGACUGCUUGCCGCAUGGUGGGUGGUGGAAAGUUUUUUCGGCUGGGGAUGGGCCCGCGGCCUAUCAGCUUGUUGGUGGGGUGAUGGCCUACCAAGGCGGUGACGGGUA
rnacentral:rRNA from 1 species